rnacentral:misc_RNA from 1 species
GCGACGUUGCAAUGGCAAUGGCUGCAAAAGCAAAGCUUAUUCUUCGGGAGCUGAAGACUGUGAAAGCUGACCUGGCUUUUGCUAAGGAACGUUGUGCACAGCUGGAAGAAGAAAACAGAAUUCUUCGAGAGAGUAGUGAAAAGGGCGGAAGUCCUGAAGAUGAUGAUUUGAUAAGGCUCCAGCUCGAGACACUUUUGGCAGAAAAGGCUAGGUUGGGUCAAGAGAACUCAGUCCUAACACGGGAGAACCGAUUCUUGAGGGAGAUUGUUGAAUACCACCAGCUCACUAUGCAGGAUGUUGUCUACCUCAAUGAAAAUAGUGAAGAGGUGACUGAAGUGUACCCCAUAAAGGUUGUAAGUUCACAAGUGACCAAGGAUAACUCAUCUCCUGUGUCAUCCUUAGAGACGAAGUAUGUUUCGUGUGAUAUCACCUCUCUGAGCUCUUUCAUCCAAACUCCUGCUGAAGAUGAAUUAGGAAGACACUGAUUUCCAGUUGCUGGAUGUAUUGCUUUGAUCUUCUCCAACCGAAAGUGUGAAUGGGUGUUCAGUGUGAAUUCUUUUGGUUGAGCCUGGUCAUCCUGAAACUUAAUAUGUAUUGAACUUUCUUUUAGCUUUUUUUUUGGUUUAUUUUCUUGGUAGGAUAGUCAAAUGCACUGGGGUUGGGGAGAACAACAUGAAUUGUGGCUUGUUUAGUUAUGCUGUAAGCUAGCUGGUUCUCACUGCAAUGAUGUGGAGG